rnacentral:misc_RNA from 1 species
CACCAAUCAAGCCUGGCUUGGUAUUGUGGUCCGCCUUCCAGCGGCCUCUAAACACAGUGGCGGUGCCGUUAGGCUCUCAGCGUAGUAAUUUUCUCGCUACAGAGUCCUGAGGUUACUUGCCAUAACCCAAAUUUCAAA